rnacentral:tRNA from 1 species
GAUAAGGUAGUUUAAUUUAAAAUUUCUAUCUUACACGUAGAAGAUGGAUUUGUUCUCUUAUUA